UCCGUAGGUGAACCUGCGGAAGGAUCAUUACAGUAUUCUUUUUGCCAGCGCUUAAUUGCGCGGCGAAAAAACCUUACACACAGUGUUUUUUGUUAUUACAAGAACUUUUGCUUUGGUCUGGACUAGAAAUAGUUUGGGCCAGAGGUUUACUGAACUAAACUUCAAUAUUUAUAUUGAAUUGUUAUUUAUUUAAUUGUCAAUUUGUUGAUUAAAUUCAAAAAAUCUUCAAAACUUUCAACAACGGAUCUCUUGGUUCUCGCAUCGAUGAAGAACGCAGCGAAAUGCGAUAAGUAAUAUGAAUUGCAGAUUUUCGUGAAUCAUCGAAUCUUUGAACGCACAUUGCGCCCUCUGGUAUUCCAGAGGGCAUGCCUGUUUGAGCGUCAUUUCUCUCUCAAACCUUCGGGUUUGGUAUUGAGUGAUACUCUUAGUCGAACUAGGCGUUUGCUUGAAAUGUAUUGGCAUGAGUGGUACUGGAUAGUGCUAUAUGACUUUCAAUGUAUUAGGUUUAUCCAACUCGUUGAAUAGUUUAAUGGUAUAUUUCUCGGUAUUCUAGGCUCGGCCUUACAAUAUAACAAACAAGUUUGACCUCAAAUCAGGUAGGAUUACCCGCUGAACUUAAGCAUAUCAAUAAGCGGAGGAAAAGAAACCAACAGGGAUUGCCUUAGUAACGGCGAGUGAAGCGGCAAAAGCUCAAAUUUGAAAUCUGGCACCUUCGGUGUCCGAGUUGUAAUUUGAAGAAGGUAACUUUGGAGUUGGCUCUUGUCUAUGUUCCUUGGAACAGGACGUCACAGAGGGUGAGAAUCCCGUGCGAUGAGAUGCCCAAUUCUAUGUAAAGUGCUUUCGAAGAGUCGAGUUGUUUGGGAAUGCAGCUCUAAGUGGGUGGUAAAUUCCAUCUAAAGCUAAAUAUUGGCGAGAGACCGAUAGCGAACAAGUACAGUGAUGGAAAGAUGAAAAGAACUUUGAAAAGAGAGUGAAAAAGUACGUGAAAUUGUUGAAAGGGAAGGGCUUGAGAUCAGACUUGGUAUUUUGCGAUCCUUUCCUUCUUGGUUGGGUUCCUCGCAGCUUACUGGGCCAGCAUCGGUUUGGAUGGUAGGAUAAUGACUAAGGAAUGUGGCUCUACUUCGGUGGAGUGUUAUAGCCUUGGUUGAUACUGCCUGUCUAGACCGAGGACUGCGUCUUUGACUAGGAUGCUGGCAUAAUGAUCUUAAGCCAC
rnacentral:sRNA from 2 species